CCUACGGGUGGCAGCAGUGGGGAAUAUUGCACAAUGGGGGAAACCCUGAUGCAGCGACGCCGCGUGAGUGAAGAAGUAUUUCGGUAUGUAAAGCUCUAUCAGCAGGGAAGAAAAUGACGGUACCUGAUUAAGAAGCCCCGGCUAACUACGUGCCAGCAGCCGCGGUAAUACGUAGGGGGCAAGCGGUAUCCGGAUUUACUGGGUGUAAGGGGAGCGUAGACGGCAGCAGAAGUCUGGAGUGAAAUGCCGGGGCUUAACCCCGGAACUGCUUUGGAAACUGUGCAGCUAGAGGGCAGGAGAGGUAAGUGGAAUUCCUAGUGUAGCGGUGAAAUGCGUAGAUAUUAGGAGGAACACCAGUGGCGAAGGCGGCUUACUGGACUGUAACUGACGUUGAGGCUCGAAAGCGUGGGGAGCAAACAGGAUUAGAUACCCUUGUAGUC
rnacentral:rRNA from 1 species